AAGUCGUAACAAGGUCUCCGUUGGUGAACCAGCGGAGGGAUCAUUACUGAGUUACAAACUCCAAACCAUUGUGAACCUAUACCAUGUUGCUUCGGCGUGCCGUCCCGGGCGCGGCUCCGGCCGUGACCCGGACCCAGGCGGCCGCCGGGGACCUAAACCUCUGUUUUUCUAGUGGACUUCUGAGUGGCAUAAGCAAAUAAUCAAAACUUUCAGCAACGGAUCUCUUGGCUCUG
rnacentral:misc_RNA from 1 species